UCCCGGGCCUCCCAGCGCCCGUCUCCCUGCAAGGUGCUGCUCACCAUCAAGGUGCGGCGCUGUUAAACGGGGAAUGUAGCUGAAGGUCGCUAUCUGGAUAAGUUUUGAAAGAUGGCAGAAGGGAGACUAAGCAUCCUGCCUGGAGAGCACUGGAAAAAGAAGGGGCUAAAAUCCAUCUAUUGACACAGAGAUUAUGACACUGCCUAUUAUUCAUCUAUCCCUAUUACCAAUCUAAUACAGAGAUUAUGACACCA